GUGAUCCGAUAUCCUCUCCUGCUUCCAGGCAGGUGGAUUUGUGGCAGGCUGCAAUGAAAGAAGCCCAGCAUCUUUACCCAUAAAUAGCCUGGGAUAGAGGAUCUCAGCCCACUGAAGCAAUGAAAUAGAACUGACUUGGGUGGCACUCAGGAGCUCUGAACUCAACACAGCAGAGACCCAGCAUGACUGAAGUUUCCAACCCCCACUGCAAGCUCCAUUGAUACUGAAAUACAGCAGAGAUUUAACUGCAAAGAGAAUUUAGAUGAGUGUUUAUUGAAAUAACAAAAGCACCAGCAAAGUUUUUUUCAUUCUGAUCAGACCAAGCACAUGAGAAAAAGUCAAUUACAUCAUCUGGUCGCAUCAGUAGAUCAUAUAGAUUGAAAAGAAGAAGCUCAAGAUCUUUUGCAAGGAACUAGAAUAAUAAUGGGUGCAGAAAGUCCUAAGCAAGUUCAAGUCUCCAAGAAAAGUGUUUUUUGGCCUGCAGCAACCUGAAUGAUAACCAACUAAUACAGCAAUUUAUCACUCUCCUGGUAAGUUCUGCAGAAGAGAAAUGUGACAGAGAGAACCUCUCAUCUUUCUCCAGAGCCAGAAAAUUUGGGAAAGAGGGAGCAUAAGGCAAUAUCCAUCGAGGUGCACCAGCAGCAGAAUCUGGGAAACUGAGGGGAAAGUUGGACAAAGCAUAAAAGUCAAACUGAAAACUCAGCAAGCAAGAUGAUAAAAGGGAAAAAUAGACCCCACCCACCCCAUGGCUGAUACAGAACUGGCAGUGGAAGCUGUUGAAGUUUUGGCUGGCUCUCUGGUGGAAAGGCUGUGUCCUCUCCACCCUGUAUUCACUGAAAAAGCCUCUGGCAUUUGCUGGAAUGUCCUUUGUAUAAUAGAGUUGUCUCUGGCCUGGUUGUCUCUGCAGAAGGAAGUUUCUUCUUAAAAAGAAAAAACACAAAGCCAAGAAACAACAAAGCCAACAACUAAACCCCACAAUAACAGGAUUUAGAAACAAAACCAAAUAAGUUUACAAUAGCAGACUGGCUGUUAACCUUUUCUAUACACAGAUUGUUGUCAUUUAUUUUUGAAAUGGGACACUAAGCUCUGGAUUUACUCAUCAAUGCUCUGAGAAAUUUCCUGUCCUUUUAUUACAGGACAGGAGAUCCCACAACUCUGUGAUCUUUUCUUUCACUUUCUGCCUUAGUUUGAAAGACAAUUUUUUUUUGCCUAGUCCCUCUGCAUUACAUUUCUUGGCUUUUUACAGAAGUACUACUUCUGUGCUCCAAACUCUUCUCGCAUAAUAUAAUUAAAUCCAUAUGUCCAUUUCAUACAACUGAACAUGAAUCUCUGGCAGAAGUUCUCUUGAAAUCUGACUACCACUUUGGCAUUUUUCAUCCCAUGCUGUUUUUUAUAAGAUUUUUACCCAUGCAGCUCUAAUGUUUGGAAAUUGGAAAUUAAAGCACCUUUUUUGCUACUGUAUAUUUUAAAUAAUCUUUUUUAAGAUUUGGUUCCCAGUUUUUGCAUUCAAAGCAGAGUGACCUAAAAAUUAGCUGAUUGGUUUUCCGAAUCCUUCCUCUUUUUCAAAGACCAGUUAAAAUUUGAAGAAAUUUCUUUAGAAAGAUAUUGAAACUUCAGCAUUUUGCUUAAUGUUCCUCUGUCCUAAUCCAAUUUCUUUGAAAGACAGGUUGGAUCUGCAGCUUGCACUUGUUUGCAGAUGUUGGUCUGACUCGUUUGCUUGACAGCUGAAGAAGUGGAAGCAGUGGGCUGUGGGUUGAGUUUUUCCACCACAUUUCAGAGCAACUCAUCUUCUGGAUCAGAAGUAGCUGUGCCAGUUUUCUGCACUUGAUUUGGACAGCAAAAGUCACAACAGUAUUCAAGCUUCUGCAACAGUUAAAGUCUUUUCAGUUUCCUCAUCUGAAUGCUGCCAUUUUGGUUUGUAUGCCUGUGAAAUGAAGCUCUGUUUUUAUGAGUCCUGGUUCUGUGACCAAACUCUGUAAACGGGAAAGAUUAAACACUAAAAGACAUGUAUGUGCACAAUGUGCUUCUACAGCACUGAGCCCCCCACCCCCCCCAAAAAAAAAAAAAAAAAUUAAGCUGUAAAAGCUGUCUGAGCUGCCAAAAGGAGUUGUGAGGAAGUAUGAGUGUUUCCAAAGAUAUUUGGAGACAAUAUGUGUUUAUAUAGGAAAUUUAUUUCAAACAAAGGCAAUUUAUCUUGUCUAAAAUUCCACAUGGUUGGUAAUGUAAUUGAAUUAGAAAAACAAGAACCUGAUGCUCAAAAAUUCUUACAUGUUUAAAACCAACACUAGACACUUCCUAUUUUAGAACAAGAUUUAAUUGCUUUCUGUAAAAUGCACUGGCAGGACAACCAUUUUCUCACUGGCAGGUAACAGCAGUUCCAAAAAAUGUGCUUUCUCCAAUGUAGCUGUAGGAAGUGUUGCUGCCUAGAAACUAGCACGGUCAUUAAUCAAAACAAAAAGAACAAACUGUUACAUAAAGCAGUAAUUUUACUAGGCAAGUACUUUGAGUCUGCUUAAAAUGGAUGAUCAGAACAUAUUACCCAGUUCCUGGUUUAUUGUCUCCAUAAAAACUUGGAAGAAUGCAUGUCUACUCCAGUAAUUUAUUUUUUCCAGGCUCAAAUAUUCUGCAAGUGGUUGCUGGGGGAGGGUGUUUGGUGGAUUUGUUUGUUUAUUUGUUGGAUGGUUGGUUGGUUGGUUGAUUGUUUUGUUGGGUUUUUUAAUCUUUCUAGUUCUUGCAAAUUUUUUUAGUUUAUUGGUAAAAGUUGUCUCCUUGCUGUGGGGGUUCAAGCACUCAAUUUGUCCUCCCUGGUUGCACUGCAGCUGAAAAUGAGUGAACAGCAGUCAGAAGCUGCCCUGGGGGGGUUGUUAUCAAUAGGUAACAUGGAAAUGUUUAGGAUAUUCUGAAGUAGUCUGAGCAUAAGUAACAGGAUGAAAGCAGAAGGAAAUUUAUGCUGAUCCUUAGGGGAAAACACUCUUCGUAUUGCAUCCUGUUAAAUUAUAUAAAAGGUCACUGGGGAACGGGUGGGUGCUUGCAGCCACUGUAGAAUGAAAUUUGAGGUUCACUUGCAGGAAGCUGCUCUGUCAGGAGGAGGAGCUCUUCUGAUCUGAGAUUGGUCUCCCCAGUUAUUCAAAUGUUCUGAGCCCAUGGGCCCUGCUGAGCACUGACAGCUUCCCCAGUCUGUGUCCUGGUGCCUGGGGUGUCUCUUCUCAAGUCAGCACUGGCAGUCCCUGUCCUCUGCUGACAGUACCAAUCAUCUGGAAAAUAUUAAUUGAGGCAUUUCAGAGACCAAGGCAAUAUUGCAUUGUCUCAGCAGGUAUAAAAAUUAUUCAGAUCUAUCUUAAGCAGAGGCCUGUAAUUGGAGCUCGAGCAGCCAAUUUUCUCCUAACUUAGAGAAAGUGGGUAACAAGAAAUAAUUUAUUUAGGGACUUGAAUUUUAAUAAGAAGUUAUUUGGUUAGAAAUAAUUUAACUAUUUAUUUUAGGGGUUUUAUUCCCUUUCAGAGAGGCUGUACAAAAAAAAAAAAAAAAAAAGAGUAAUAAGAA